rnacentral:rRNA from 1 species
GAUUGAACGCUGGCGGCAUGCCUUACACAUGCAAGUCGAACGGUAGGGGGAGCAAUCCCCUGAGAGUGGCGAAACGGGUGAGUAAUACAUCGGAACGUGCCCAGUCGUGGGGGAUAACGUAGCGAAAGCUACGCUAAUACCGCAUACGACCUGAGGGUGAAAGCGGGGGACCGAAAGGCCUCGCGCGAUUGGAGCGGCCGAUGGCAGAUUAGGUAGUUGGUGGGGUAAAGGCCCACCAAGCCUGCGAUCUGUAGCUGGUCUGAGAGGAUGAUCAGCCACACUGGAACUGAGACACGGUCCAGACUCCUACGGGAGGCAGCAGUGAGGAAUAUUGGUCAAUGGGCGGAAGCCUGAACCAGCCAUGCCGCGUGCAGGAAGACGGCCCUACGGGUUGUAAACUGCUUUUAUGUGAGGAUAAACCUAGAUUUUGCGAAUCUAGCUGAAGGUAUCACAUGAAUAAGGAUCGGCUAACUCCGUG